CCUACGGGGGGCUGCAGUGGGGAAUAUUGGACAAUGGGGGCAACCCUGAUCCAGCCAUGCCGCGUGUGUGAAGAAGGCCCUCGGGUUGUAAAGCACUUUCAGUGAGGAAGAACGCCUGGUGGUUAAUACCCAUCAGGAAAGACAUCACUCACAGAAGAAGCACCGGCUAACUCCGUGCCAGCAGCCGCGGUAAUACGGAGGGUGCGAGCGUUAAUCGGAAUUACUGGGCGUAAAGCGCGCGUAGGUGGCUUGAUAAGCCGGUUGUGAAAGCCCCGGGCUCAACCUGGGAACGGCAUCCGGAACUGUCAAGCUAGAGUGCAGGAGAGGAAGGUAGAAUUCCCGGUGUAGCGGUGAAAUGCGUAGAGAUCGGGAGGAAUGCCAGUGGCGAAGGCGGCCUUCUGGACUGACACUGACACUGAGGUGCGAAAGCGUGGGUAGCAAACAGGAUUAGAUACCCGAGUAGUC
rnacentral:rRNA from 1 species